rnacentral:rRNA from 1 species
GACGAACGCUGGCGGCGUGCUUAACACAUGCAAGUCGAACGGAAAGGCCCUGCUUUUGUGGGGUGCUCGAGUGGCGAACGGGUGAGUAACACGUGAGUAACCUGCCCUUGACUUUGGGAUAACUUCAGGAAACUGGGGCUAAUACCGGAUAGGAGCUCCUGCUGCAUGGUGGGGGUUGGAAAGUUUCGGCGGUUGGGGAUGGACUCGCGGCUUAUCAGCUUGUUGGUGGGGUAGUGGCUUACCAAGGCUUUGACGGGUAGCCGGCCUGAGAGGGUGACCGGCCACAUUGGAACUGAGAUACGGCCCAGACUCCUACGGGAGGCAACAGUGGGGAAUAUUGCACAAUGGGCGGAAGCCUGAUGCAGCAACGCCGCGUGCGGGAUGACGGCCUUCGGGUGGUAAACCGCUUUCGCCUGUGACGAAGCGUGAGUGACGGUAAUGGGUAAAGAAGCACCGGCUAACUACGU